rnacentral:rRNA from 1 species
UACGAAGGGUGCAAGCGUUACUCGGAAUUACUGGGCGUAAAGCGUGCGUAGGUGGUUUGUUAAGUCUGAUGUGAAAGCCCUGGGCUCAACCUGGGAAUUGCAUUGGAUACUGGCAGGCUAGAGUGUGGUAGAGGAUGGCGGAAUUCCCGGUGUAGCAGUGAAAUGCGUAGAGAUCGGGAGGAACAUCUGUGGCGAAGGCGGCCAUCUGGACCAGCACUGACACUGAGGCACGAAAGCGUGGGGAGCAAACAGG